GCUUGAACUGCUAAAGUGUCAGACAAGCUUUUAACCAGUACGACAAUAAUCGAAACACCAUGAACCGUAAACUUGUUGCAAUUUUUUUCCUAUUAUGUGCCGUUCAGAGUUCACUCGGUGGGGGCGAUGGUCACCAUGGAGACUACAUGAAAUGUAGCGGUGGGACUGUACAAUGCUGUAAUGGCCUGAAGAAAAAGAAUAUCGUUCAAGUACUGCUACAAGCGUUAGGCCUUGCAAACGCAGGCCUAUUCGAUAUCGUUGGUGAUGUUGAUGUAACUUGCACCCCGGUCGCAGUGGGAGUACAGGGAGGCGCUGUUAGCGGUCAAAGUUGUACUGGUCAAACUCUGUGCUGCUCGGAUAAUAAAGUGAAUGGAUUUAUUGCGACUGGCUGUAUUCCUUUCAAUGUAAAUGCAGGCUAAAUGCGGUCAGAAUGCUAAUUUUGCCUAAAAAGUAUAGGACGAAAAUAAAUGGAAAUUUUGAUGGUU